rnacentral:rRNA from 1 species
CUGGCGGUGUGCCUAAGGUAUGCAAGUCGAACGGUCCUUAUGAUUUAUCAUUUGGACAGUGGCAGACUGGUGAGUAACGCGUGGAUAAUCUGCCCCGAAGAUGAGGAUAGCUCGCCGAAAGGUGAGGUAAUCCUCAAUGGUGUGGGAAGUACAUAUGUACAUCCCACUAAAGCUUUAGCGCUUCGGGAUGAGUCUGCGUCCUAUCAGCUUGUUGGUAGAGUAAAGGUCUACCAAGGCUAAGACGGGUAACUGGUCUGAGAGGAUGGUCAGUCACAGUGGCACUGAAACACGGGCCACACUCCUACGGGAGGCAGCAAUUAGGAAUCUUGCACAAUGGAGGAAACUCUGAUGCAGCGACACCGCGUGAAGGAUGAAGACCCUCGGGUUGUAAACUUCUUUUAUAAUCUAACAAGUUCUGAGUGGAGUAUGAAUAAGCACCUGCUAACUGCGUGCCAGAAGCAUCGGUGAAGCGUGGGGUGCGAGCGUUAUCCGGAUUUAUUGGGCGUAAAGAGAUGCGUAGGCGUUUUGGUAAGUCUUCUGUCAAAGCCUUCGGCCUAACCGAAGAAAGGCAGAGGAUACUAUCAGAAUUGAGACAGAGAGGGGGAAGUGGAAUUCCCGGUGGAGCGGUGAAAUGCGUUGAUAUCGGGAGGAACACCAGUGGCGAAGGCAACUUCCUGGCUCUGUUCUGACGCUGAGGCUCGAAAGCGUGGAGAGCAAAGCGGAUUAGAUACCCGUGUAGUCCAUGCUGUAAACGUUGGAUACUGGACGUUUGGUUC